rnacentral:lncRNA from 1 species
CGCACAAAUAUUCCAAUUGGAGAGUGAUGUAUAACACUUACUGAAACUUACAAACAACGCAAUAUUAAUAGCAAGUCCGAGCGGCGAGCACGGAAGUAGACGAAAAACAAACCGAAAUGUAUAUGUGAAGGUUCUGACAGCAAAAACGAGAAGUUUAGUUAUAUCUGGUAAGCUGUGAUAUAAACCGUAAGAUAUAUUUUAGUCCGCCGUUAUUUCGUCUGACUGAUUCAUGUUAAUUUGAGUGUUAUACUGACAUGUUUGUUGGUAAGUUGGGGUGGUAUAAAGUGAUAGAAGGCAGACUUAUAGUAUUUAAAGCUAUUGGAAGACCACCGGAGACAUCUAGCAUUUUGUAAUAUACAUAUAGUAUCAGAAAAAAGUAGACAAUUUUGAAACGGCUGUCAAUUUCACAAAUCCUGAACGGUUGUCAUGACAUUUUUGAUAAAUAUAGAAUGUUUGGGUACUUGUAAUGUAGAAUAAACAAAAAAAUUCGUAAAAAUAAAUUUUCCAGAGCAGGGGGGUGCCUUUUUAGCAGCAUUAAAAUAGUUUGCGUGCGAAAUUUAAAAGUUUAAAACGUAUUUUUAGUUCAUGGGCGAGACAUUUGUGUUUUAUCAAUGGUCCAAAUAUCAGAAAAUUUAAUCCAUUUUAAAUCCUUUAAAUAGCUGCUGAAACUUUCAUUUUUGGGCAAUGCCUGUCACGCAUGAUUAAUUCAUGCAUUUACCUAAUUUGCAUAUUGUUAAUUGUAAGAAAAGUAAAAUAACAAUAUGCAAAUUAGGUACAUGUAUGAAUUAAUUAAGCAUGCGUAAUAGGCAUUGCUGUCAAAAAUGAAAGUUUCGCAAAGCUAUUUAAAGGACUUUAAAGUCAUUCACAGUUAGGCAUUUAAAAUUCAGAUCCUGGUGUUACUAUCAGAUUUUAAAAUUCAGAUCCUGG